rnacentral:rRNA from 1 species
AGAACCGCUAGGCGGCGACGGACCUAACACAUGCAAGUCGGAGGGGCAUCGCGGUGCAGCAAUGCACUGGCAGCGACCGGCGGUACGGGUGCGUAACGCGUAUGCAACCUCGCCCCGCGACCGGGGAUACGCCCGACCGAAAGGCGGAUUAACUACCCCAUCGGGUCCCGGGGGCCCGCAUGGGCAUCCGGGUAAAGCCUUGGCGGUGCGGGAUGGGCAUGCGUGCCAUUAGCUGGCUGGUGGGGUAACGGCCCACCAGGGCAACGAUGGCUAGGGGGUCUGAGAGGAUGGUCCCCCACACUGGUACUGAGACACGGACCAGACUCCUACGGGAGGCAGCAGUGAGGAAUAUUGGUCAAUGGGCGGAAGCCUGAACCAGCCAUGCCGCGUGCGGGAUGAAGGCCCUACGGGUUGUAAACCGCUUUUCCCCGGGAAGAAUAACGCCCCCCGCGGGGGGUGAUGCCGGUACCGGGGGAAUAAGGAUCGGCUAACUCCGUG